GCCGUGGCUGCCAAGCACCCGGGACUCGGGGAGUAUGCCGCAUGCCAGUCACACGCCUUCACGAAGGGCGUUUUCACCUUCAUCACAGGCACUGGCAUGGCCUUUGGCUUGCAGAUGUUCAUUCAGAGGAAGUUUCCAUACCCUUUGCAGUGGAGCCUCCUAGUGGCCGUGGGUGGGUACUCCAGGGCCCCUGCCUGGGCUCUUUGAGGGGUGGGUUUCUGCUAGGGUUGGGGCUGUGGUUCUGCGUCCCUGACUCUGACGUGGAGCCCCAGGUCUCGGCGGGAGCCCCACCUGAGCCCACCCACCACGUCUGUCAGGAAGUAGCCUGUGCCCGGUUCUCUUAGCCUGGGAAGCACAGAGGCCCCAGCCCUCUUCCAUUUCCUGCUCCACAGUUGCAGGCUCUGUGGUCAGCUACGGGGUGACGAGAGUGGAGUCGGAGAAAUGCAACAACCUCUGGCUCUUCCUGGAGACCGGGCAGCUCCCCAAAGACAGGAGCACAGAUCAGAGAAGCUAGGAGAGCUCCAGCAGGGGCACAGAGGAUUGGGGGCAGG
rnacentral:sRNA from 1 species